GUCUUUUUUUUAUUUUUUAUUUUUAUCUUUUUCAUUCUAAAAAAUAUAAUCAGGCAAUGGGAAUUUUCAUUGGCUAGAUUUGAUGCCUAUUGCCUACUUCUAGAUUGCCUCACUUGUUGCAACUACAUGGAAGAGCCUAGUUAGUUAUCAUACAGUAUUACAGUUACAACAUACCUAUUCAUGGAAAUAUCAGUUCUCUUCAAAACUAAUACAAAAAAGUAACAAAAUGAUUUCAGUAUUCUUUUUCCUUUUGUCUUUCACCUCUUCAAUUUUCAUGUGCUAGGAUUAGGGUUAUGAUUGGAGUUUGAUAACAAAGAUUGCCUAC
rnacentral:misc_RNA from 1 species